rnacentral:rRNA from 1 species
GAUGAACGCUGGCGGCGUGCCUAAUACAUGCAAGUCGAGCGAACAGACGAGGAGCUUGCUCCUUUGACGUUAGCGGCGGACGGGUGAGUAACACGUGGAUAACCUACCUAUAAGACUGGGAUAACUUCGGGAAACCGGAGCUAAUACCGGACAACAUGUUGAACCGCAUGGUUCAACAGUGAAAGACGGUCUUGCUGUCACUUAUAGAUGGAUCCGCGCCGCAUUAGCUAGUUGGUAAGGUAACGGCUUACCAAGGCAACGAUGCGUAGCCGACCUGAGAGGGUGAUCGGCCACACUGGAACUGAGACACGGUCCAGACUCCUACGGGAGGCAGCAGUAGGGAAUCUUCCGCAAUGGGCGAAAGCCUGACGGAGCAACGCCGCGUGAGUGAAGAAGGUCUUCGGAUCGUAAAACUCUGUUAUUAGGGAAGAACAAAUGUGUAAGUAACUAUGCACGUCUUGACGGUACCUAAUCAGAAAGCCACGGCUAACUACGUG